rnacentral:rRNA from 1 species
UCGUAGGGGUGCAGCGUUGCCGGAAUUAUUGGGCGUAAAGGGCUCGUAGGCGGUUUGUCGCCGUCGGGAGUGAAAUCAUCCAGCUUAACUGGGUGCUUGCUUUCGAUACGGGCAGACUUGAGGUAUGCAGGGGAGAAUGGAAUUCCUGGUGUAGCGGUGAAAUGCGCAGAUAUCAGGAGGAACACCGGUGGCGAAGGCGGGUCUCUGGGCCGAUACUGACGCUGAGGAGCGAAAGCGUGGGGAGCGACAGG